AAAGCUUUGAGAAGCAAGAAUAAGCUUGGUUAGUGUUUUGGAGUAAAAUAUGACUACAGGUCAUGUGUAUGAUUGAGUAUAAAAACU
rnacentral:sRNA from 1 species